UACGGGGGGUGCGAGCGUUGUCCGGAAUCAUUGGGCGUAAAGAGCGUGUAGGCGGCCCGGUAAGUCCGCUGUGAAAGUCCAGGGCUCAACCCUGGGAUGCCGGUGGAUACUGUCGGGCUCGAGUCCGGAAGAGGAGUGUGGAAUUCCUGGUGUAGCGGUGAAAUGCGCAGAUAUCAGGAGGAACACCAAUGGCGAAGGCAGCACUCUGGGACGUGACUGACGCUGAGACGCGAAAGCGUGGGGAGCAAACAGG
rnacentral:rRNA from 1 species